CCAAGUUUAUAAGGGCGCACGGUGGAUGCCUUGGCACCAGGAACCGAAGAAGGACGUAGGAAUCUGCGAUAAGCCUCGGGGAGUCGAUAACCAGACUGUGAUCCGAGGAUUUCCGAAUGGGGAAACCCGGCUGGAGGCAAGUCCAGUCACCCCUACCUGAACACAUAGGGUAGGUGGAGGGAACGUGGGGAAGUGAAACAUCUCAGUACCCACAGGAAGAGAAAGCAACCGCGAUUCCGUGAGUAGUGGCGAGCGAAAGCGGAACAGGCUAAACCGAUCAUGUGUGACAGCUGUCAGGCGUUGCAUGGUCGGGGUCGUGGGACUGCUAGGUCGGCUCUGACAGGCCGGCACGGAGUCAAAAAUUCGCGUCAUAGUCGAAGGGCAUUGAGAGGCCCGGCACAGAGGGUGCUACCCCCGUAGACGAAAUGACGCGAACUCCGUAGCAGGAUCCCAAGUAGCACCGGGCUCGAGGAACCCGGUGUGAAUCUGGCGGGACCACCCGCUAAGCCUAAAUAUUCCCUGGUGACCGAUAGCGGACAAGUACCGUGAGGGAAAGGUGAAAAGUACCCCGGGAGGGGAGUGAAAUAGUACCUGAAACCGGACGCUUACAAUCCGUCAGAGCCUGCGCCCUUCGGGGGUGGGUGAUGGCGUGCCUUUUGAAGAAUGAGCCUGCGAGUCAGUGCUCAGUGGCAAGGUUAACCCGUGUGGGGUAGCCGUAGCGAAAGCGAGUCUGAAUAGGGCGUUUGAGUCGCUGGGUCUGGACCCGAAGCGGAGUGAUCUACCCAUGGCCAGGGUGAAGCGACGGUAAGACGUCGUGGAGGCCCGAACCCACUUCAGUUGAAAAUGGAGGGGAUGAGCUGUGGGUAGGGGUGAAAGGCCAAUCAAACUCCGUGAUAGCUGGUUCUCCCCGAAAUGCAUUUAGGUGCAGCGUCCCGUGUUUCUUGCCGGAGGUAGAGCUACUGGAUGGCCGAUGGGCCCUACUAGGUUACUGACGUCAGCCAAACUCCGAAUGCCGGUACGUGUAAGUGUGGCAGUGAGACGGCGGGGGAUAAGCUCCGUGCGUCGAGAGGGAAACAGCCCAGAUCGCCGGCUAAGGCCCCUAAGCGUGUGCUAAGUGGAAAAGGAUGUGCAGUCGCAAAGACAACCAGGAGGUUGGCUUAGAAGCAGCCACCCUUGAAAGAGUGCGUAAUAGCUCACUGGUCAAGUGAUUGUGCGCCGAUAAUGUAGCGGGGCUCAAGCACACCGCCGAAGCCGCGGCAACGCAAGUCUUGCGUUGGGUAGGGGAGCGUCCUGCAUCCGGUGAAGCCACCGAGUGAUCGAGUGGUGGAGGGUGUGGGAGUGAGAAUGCAGGCAUGAGUAGCGAUAAGGCAAGUGAGAACCUUGCCCGCCGAAAGACCAAGGGUUCCUGGGGCAGGCCAGUCCGCCCAGGGUGAGUCGGGACCUAAGGCGAGGCCGACAGGCGUAGUCGAUGGACAACGGGUUGAUAUUCCCGUACCCGUGUAUCCGCGCCCAGUGGCGAAUCAAUUGUACUAACCAUCCAAAUCCCUAUGGACCGCCUUCGGGUGGCCGGCGGGUGCUGCAUGGGACCUCGGUUGUAGUAGUCAAGCGAUGGGGUGACGCAGGAAGGUAGUGGAGCCAGUCGAUGGUAGUGCUGGUGUAAGCCCGUAGGGAGGGACAUAGGCAAAUCCGUGUCCCACAUAUCCUGAGAGGUGAUGCGUAGCCGUUGAGGCGAAAUCCAUGAUCCUAUGCUGCCGAGAAAAGCCUCUAGCGAGCUGGUACACGGCCCGUACCCCAAACCGACACAGGUGGUCAGGUAGAGAAUACUAAGGCGAUCGAGAGAACUGUGGUUAAGGAACUCGGCAAAAUGCCCCCGUAACUUCGGGAGAAGGGGGACCAGCCCUGGUGACGAAACUUGCUUUCCGAGCUGGGGGUGGUCGCAGAGACCAGAGAGAAGCGACUGUUUACUAAAAACACAGGUCCGUGCGAAGUCGUAAGACGAUGUAUACGGACUGACGCCUGCCCGGUGCUGGAAGGUUAAGAGGACCGGUCAGCCACUUCGGUGGCGAAGCUGAGAAUUUAAGCCCCAGUAAACGGCGGUGGUAACUAUAACCAUCCUAAGGUAGCGAAAUUCCUUGUCGGGUAAGUUCCGACCUGCACGAAUGGCGUA
rnacentral:rRNA from 1 species